rnacentral:tRNA from 1 species
GGAGAGGUGGUCGAGUGGUUUAUGGCUCCGGUCUUGAAAACCGGCUUAGGGUAACCUAACGUGGGUUCGAAUCCCACCCUCUCCGCCA